GACGAACGCUGGCGGCGUGCCUAAUACAUGCAAGUCGAGCGAGACUCUUCGGAGUCUAGCGGCGGACGGGUGAGUAACACGUGGGCAACCUGCCUGUAAGACUGGGAUAACACCGGGAAACCGGUGCUAAUACCGGAUAAUCCUUUUCCUCUCAUGAGGAAAAGCUGAAAGUCGGUUUCGGCUGACACUUACAGAUGGGCCCGCGGCGCAUUAGCUAGUUGGUGAGGUAACGGCUCACCAAGGCGACGAUGCGUAGCCGACCUGAGAGGGUGAUCGGCCACACGGGGACUGAGACACGGCCCAGACUCCUACGGAAGGCAGCAGUAGGGAAUCUUCCACAAUGGACGAAAGUCUGAUGGAGCAACGCCGCGUGAGCGAUGAAGGCCUUCGGGUCGUAAAGCUCUGUUGUUAGGGAAGAACAAGUGCCGGAGUAACUGCCGGUACCUUGACGGUACCUAACCAGAAAGCCACGGCUAACUACGUGCCAGCCGCCGCAGUAACAC
rnacentral:rRNA from 1 species